GCAGCAGCAGACCCCCUUCUCUGCCGCCUUUCGGUAAGCCUCCCCCUGCCCCGCAUCUCUGCCCUCCUGCGCCACCCUGGCUCCUUGCUGGGGCAGCUCAGCAGCGCGGGGCCCGCCCGCCAUGGUGGCACUGGGAAGGAGGUCCAUUCUCAAAGAGAAAACUUCCAGAAUUUCAAUGACCUUCAGCAAAGUGAAUGGCGUGGCAGUUCGGGGAGCCCAUCCCCCUCCCCGCAGGGAAGCAUUCUGGGUGGUGGAGGGCCCUUCUCCAGGGCCUGGGUCUGCUUCCAAGAAGAAAGAGCCGGGAUCCAAGAGACAGGCAGAGAAGGGGCCUGGAAAGGGGGUGCUGUGCAGUGAACCCAGAGCUCUCCCCUGAGCCCGCAGUGCCCACUGCCCAGUGGUCGGCAAGGCCAGCCAGGUGCUGUGUGGCCCCGCUGAGAUGGCCCGUGUUCCCAUGGCAGGAUCAGUCCCAAGGCCAAUGUGGUGACAGCGCCCCCAGUGUCCCUGAUGGGCAGUGCUGUGGGGUGGGCACUUACUUGACCACCAACACCGGUGCCUGGAAUAAUCCUGCUCUGCACGUGUUUGUUGACAGAAGAGGGAGAGGCGGAGGAGGAAGGACUCAGCGAGCCUCUUCCACACCGGUCCCCACAAGAGCGGGCCCCUGGAGUGCUCUCUCCCUCCUCGUGUCCUAGGGCAGGUGGCUGAAGGAGCCCGGAAGUCCCCUUCCCCACACCUGAGCAGCUGGAAUGGAGGUAAGACCCUCUGGCGGCAGGGGGGGGCGGGGUUGCACAGGAAGCCCUGGGGUCACCUCUACCUCUUGGCCCCCACAGUCCUGGCCGGAGGGCGUUCGGAGCUCUCCUCCCUCCAUUUCUGGGCCAGGCCAUCGGGCACCGGGCAGGCCCCGGGAGCCUUAUGAGCCGCACACUCUGCCCUGUUGCCCUCAGAGGCUGAGGCUCUCCGGCUCCCUGCGGUUCUGAGAACUGAACGUGUUUUCCCCAUCUGAUGUGGCAAGAGGCCACUCGUGUCCAGCGGUAGCCGGCCCUCCGACCGCAGCAAGAACAGGGGUAACCCCCUGGGUGGAGCGGACCGGCCGGGGCCCCCCCGAGAGCCAAUGACUUCUCCCUCCUGACCCGUCCCCCCCCAUCAGCUCAGCUCAGCUCAUCAAAGCGGCCUCCUCCUCCAGGCCCCUGGCUCCCUGCUCUGCUUCCUCCUGCAUCUCGAAAGAACCUUCCCAGAGCACAGAUGGGACCGUGCACCUCCUCUGAUUUAAAACCUCCCUUUGAUCUUCUGGGGAAAAAAAAACGGUGCACUCAGAACGCACAGAUGAUACUCCUUAUCGAAAACAAGCUGUUCCGGGCACCACUGCCUUAGCAGAGCGCGUAACCGACUUGUCCAAGGUCACAGGGCUGGUGACCGCCUCCACUGGGAUUUGAAAAGAAUUCCAAACUCAUGACAGUCGAGGCCAGCUGUCACGGGGCCCCUCCAGCGUCUCCCCUGCCUCCCAGGGAGUGGGGAUGCCCCAAAAGGCAGGGCGCGUCCCGCCAUCAUGCUUUUAGCCUCUGCCAAGAACGCUUUCUCACCUGUUGGAGGUUUCCCCACCUCCAGUACCCAGCACGAAGCCACCCCUCAGCGUCUCAUGACCCUGGAAUCCAUCGACGACACACCUGCCUCCCACUGUCUUUGCAUAUGGUUGUUUCUGCCCACCUCUCGUCCCCCUCAGAGGGCAGAGGCUGGUGCGACAUUUCCCUCCGUGUCCUCACAGACCCGCGAUAAGGUGGUGGCUCCAGGAUGGGUGUCCCCACCACCACCGCCGUCUCCACCGUGCUGUCACGACCACGAGGCUCUGGACGCGGGAGAGCACGGCUCCCCCCAGAGCACGGACAGCCCCCUCCCCAACAUUUGACUUCCCUCUGGGUCAGAGGUCAAGUAGGCAGAAAGGCAGCAGAAAGCCGAGUUGGGGAAGUGCCUGGCACCAGAGUCUCCGGGUGGCAGAGUGGGUCCUGGGGCUGGCAGGUCACCAAGCAGAGCACCAUUUGUUCCCAAACAGAGUGACUCAGACCUGAUUCGUGCCCCAGCACCUCCCACCGCGGGGACCCGUGACGACCAGUGCCUGCUUCCUGGGAUUCCUGUGCACAGGCUGUGCCCGUCUGCCCCGUGGAGCAAAGGAGGGGUUGGGGGUGUGGGCACCUGGAGAGUCACGGUUUCCAGGGAUGCCCUGGGGCAGUGCUCCUUACCCUUGGCUUCUCAUUCUUGGCCACACGAGCACCUGGGAGUGCAAAACAGGUGGUCAAGCCUGGGCCCCCGGACCGAGUUGGGGGUCAGAACAUCAGGGGACCCACGUAUGGCCUUUCUCAGCAGCUCUCUGGUGCUUCAGUCAUGUGGCUGAUACGGGAAUCACUGGGCUCCAGGGGCGCCUGGAUGCCAUCUGAUCGAUUUUGGCUCGGGUCAUGAUCUCACAGUUUGUGAAUUCAAGCCUCAAGUUGGGCUCCACUCUGACAUCGUGGAGCCUGCUUGGGAUUCUCUCUCUCUCUCCUUCUCUCUCUCUCUGCCCCUCCCCCAUCCCUCUCUCUCGCUGUCUCUCUCUCUGUCUCUCAAACAAAUACAUUAAAAAAAUGAAAUAAAAUAAAAGGAAUCACUGAGUCCCAGCAAAGGGCAGGCGCAGGCUGGAACGGUAGAGGUGAGAUAGAAAUCGGGUGCCAGUGCCCUGGGCGUGAGGACGGUCUGCAGCGGGGAAGAGGCGAGGGUGCCCCGAGGUGGUAAACAACUGCAGAUGGGCAAGAAGGAGCUUGCAGAAUGGGGCGCCUGGGCCCUUUCCCAGAUAUGGUAAAGCCAGAGAGAAGGGCGGAAGGAGCAGGGGAGCUGGCGUGCGGGCUGGGCGGUGGCUGGGAGGCAGGGGCAGGCCUGACUCCGGGGUGCGAGGCUGGGAGAGGCCGACUCCCCUCCGGCUAGAGGGUCACCGAGCAGUCCCAGUGAGUGAGGGGUAUGGCAGCCAUACUGUGGACCCUCAAACUCAAAAUCGGGACUGGGUUACGGAGGAAAUGGGACACGAUGUCUUAUCUAGAUUUUUCCUGAGAAUCUGGCCCACGGAGGCCCUGUGCCGGGGUGGCCGAGGGGAUGUGCCCUGUGAAGAGCACUGAUCUGAAACCCAAAAACUGGUACAAUGGCAUCAAUGUCCCUGUCUGUCCUGUGACUCACAGGCCCUGGAAACUCCACAUUUCUAUACCGAGAGCAGGCGAACUUGCGGCCGUUAGGUUUUAGCGUCCACCCGGCUGGACCGAGGGACACCCAGAAAGCUGAUGAAACAUUCUUUCUGGGUGUGUGUGAGCGGGGUUGAUGGGGGGCACUGAGUCCAGCAGGUGGCUCUCCCCAGUGGGGGUGGGGGCACCACCCAGUCCAUUUAGGACCCAGAUGGAACAAAAAGCCAGAGGAAAAGAGAAUUCGAUCUCUGUUCUUGAGCUGGGACACGCCUCUUCUCCCCACCUGAGACAUGGGCGUUUCUCGUUCUCGCUUUCAGACUCAGAAUUUAUACCCGAGCCCCUCGAUCCUCAGACCCUAAGACUCAGGCUGAAUGACACGGCAGAUGGUGGGACUUCCGGGCCAGUUCCUAUAAUAAAUGUCCUCUUACGUAUCUCUAUGCGUCCCAUUGGUUCUGUUCGUCCGGGGCAGCCUAAUACAGGAUCAUUGGAGUUUUAAAUCUAUGCGCACUGUUCUUGUGGUUCGCGGGGGACAGGGCAUGAGCGAGGUGUCCUCUCAGUCACAUCUCCAGUCUUUCCUUGUUGAGUAGACAUUGCAGAGAUCCCCUCUACUCCUGCGGGCAUCUCUCAGGGGUAGAGGUGAUGCCUCGUGGGGGAAGGAGCCCUCUCGGUCACCCAGCAUCUAGUGCGGAUGGGGGGAAGGUUUACACUAGGUCAGCCAGAGCCCUGGAGUCCUGCGCUCAAGGAGUUGACAAUCUGGUGUGAAUGUUGAUGAGUCAUAUAUUAUUUGGGGUUCUGAGGAAGGAGACCAGGCCUUGUUCACAAGGCCUCGUAAUACAAGAUGCACCUUGAUGGGAAUGGUAUAAAGAGGGAGAGAUUCAUUCACUCCAAGGUGUGUAUCUGCCUAUCUGGAAAGCUUCCUGGAGGAGGAGGCAUUUGAUAGGGACCUUAAAAGAAAGGCCUGUCAGGAAUAGAUAUAAACUAGGAUUUUCAAAAACCCAGGGGCAAUUCAGUGAAAAAAAAAAAAAAAUGUGUUAUUUAGUAUAUGGAAAUUAAAAUAUGUUUUGACCAGAAGUUGAAUAAUUUGUCUGCAAUCAAUGUACUGAUUAGUAAGAUCUUGAAGGAUUUGAGGGAAACUUUGCUUUAGUUCAGAUUAGUUUUGUUUUCACCAAAGCUGUCUCUCCCCAGCUGGUUCCAGUAGAUUUAUUAGCUCAGUUCUGCUCGGCUAAAUGUCAGUUUUAUGGAUAAAUCAUGCUUCAGACAGCGAGCCUGUACCAAAUACUGCCUGAAACACACACAAAAUAUCUUCUUGACGGAGACAGUUAAUACAUCCGUGAGUUCAAAGAAGUACUAAAGCAACAGCCUAUAUUGAAAUUCUAUUAGAAGAGACUUAAUUUAAUCUAUAAUCCACAAGAUCCUUGACAUUGGAGACACGUACAGCUACUUAGCCUCGAAAUGGCUCAGUUCUCCUUCCCCCACGUGACAGGCCCGAUGUACCUAAAGAAAAAGAGGGGGUGGGGAGGGCACCUGGAUGGCUCAGUCGGUCGAGUGUCCGACUUCAGCUCAGGUCAUGAUCUCAUGGUUCACGAGUUCGAGCCCCACGUCCAGCUCUGUGCUGACAGCUGGGAGCCUGGAGCCUGCUUCCGAUUCUGUGUCUCCCUCUCUGCCCCUCCCCUGCUCACACUCUGUCUCUCUCUCUCUCUCAAAAAUAAACGUCAAAAAAUUUUUAUUAAAAAAAUUUACAUAUAUAAAAAAACAAGAAUAAAAAACAGAGAACGUUCAUCUUUAUCAGAUUGUGGUGUGGGGUUCAGGUGAACUGAUAAAUAAUUUCCCGAGCCAGAACACUGAACAAAGCUAAGACUUUAAACUGGAUGAGAGAAACUCCAGAGAAAUAUUCAAAAAGUCGUCAGUCAUCUCAGCCCAUAUGAAUCUCUGCCAUCCUCACAGAGUGUUUUUACCAAUAAUUUUUUUUUUAGUAAAUUGGGAAAUACCAGCAAGUUGGCCAUUUGUGGAACCAGUCUUGGCAAACGGAUUUUCACGGAAGUGGCUUUCAGAGAACUGAGUUUCCUGAAGUCACUGAGAACCCUGUGGGCUCUCGGGACACUUCUUGCCUGCUUCCAGGUCUCCCUGGAGUUCUAGGCUGGGGCGGGGCUGCUGCCUGAACCCCGGGGGUGUAACCGGACCCCGCCCUCAAAGAUCUUCCGGGAGAUCGGCAGUCCACGCUCAAGUUGGUUCUGUGUCAGGUGCAACCGGGAAGUCCCUAAAACCCAGAGUGCCGGCUUCCAGAAGAUGCUCCCCCACGCCGUGGGUCCCAGCUGACCCUCUCCGCCAGCCCUCCAGCCCCCAGGGGUCAGUCCUCCCCGGGGCCGCCUGGGUCUCUUCUCCGGUGGAAGAAGCUCUGGGUGGGGGGGUAGAUGAGACACUGCUGGUGGGGCGGCCCCCGGGGCCCUUGAGGUCGGGGCCGCGGUCUGUCCCUCACCGGAGACCCGAAGAGUCCCUUCCUUUCCCAGACCCUCAGACUCCACGCUUGCUCUCCUGGGGCAACACAUAAAGAGGGGUGCCCGCUGCUUUGUUCCCGCCUCGUGGUCCCAUCGAGUCCUUUUCAGGAGCACCUCGCCCACCAGGGAGCAGCCCCCUCUCCUAGCUCCCGGGGCUGCCCCUCUACGAGCUCCGGUCUUUCGAGAGCCGUGUGCUCUGUGUUCAGUAUCGUGCACCGUAGACGUGCAGAGAUCUGGGGAGGGGAAGAGCCAGCGUCCCUGGAGCCACAGCCAGCGUGAGAAGCACGACAGCGCGGGCGCCUGGGGGGCCCCGGCCGUUAAGGGUCCGACUCUCGAUUUCGGCUCAGGUCGUGAUCUCACAGUUCGUGGGUUCAAGCCCCGCGUCGGGCUCUGUGCUGACAGCUUGGAGCCUGGAGCCCUCUUCGGAUUCUGUAUCUCCUUCUCUCUUUGCCCCUUUCCCGCUCAUGCUCUGUCUCUCUCUGUCUCUCAAAAAUGAAUAAAUGUUUAAAAAAAGAAAAGAA
rnacentral:lncRNA from 1 species